rnacentral:rRNA from 1 species
UACGGGGGGGGUAAGCGUUGUUCGGAAUUACUGGGCGUAAAGGGCUCGUAGGCGGCCAACUAAGUCAUACGUGAAAUCCCUCAGCUUAACCGGGGAACGGCUUCUGAUACUGGCUGGCUGGAGUUCGGGAGAGGGAUGCGGAAUUCCAGGUGUAGCGGUGAAAUGCGUAGAUAUCUGGAGGAACACCGGUGGCGAAGGCGGCAUCCUGGACCGACACUGACGCUGAGGAGCGAAAGCCAGGGGAGCAAACGGG